GGCGGUGAAGGCGACGGUGAAGAUAGCCGAUGGUCCGCGCAGUCUGGGUUCUGCCCCAGUCUUGUGGAGCGUGGAGCCUGCCGGAGUAUUUGCCUCGGCGAGCAGCGGUCUUCACGAUCUGGUCGUCCAGCUGGCCGGCUGUGCAGUGAGACAGGUCAGCGCUUACGCCGCCGACCUUGAACGAGCCCGGGCUUGCGGCCACCCGUCAGCCACGCCAACGGUGCCCGGGCCAGGGUGAGCUGGGACGUGCCAGGAGUGCCUGCCGGCACCAAUCCCAUUCUGCAGAAGACUAACAACGCACGAGUCCUGAGGAGUUUAAGCCGCCGGGGCAUCCACGAGGGACACCCUAGCAGCCGCUACCGUAGGCGACGCCCGAGUCAGGGCGGGAACGUGGUGGCGUUGCACCAGUUCUUGGGCCCUCUGGACUGCCUUGAGUUGAUGGUCGAGCUCGGAGCUCCUGAGUGCCUCUUCCCAAUCGGACUAACUGGAUCCGGACAGUAGCAGAAUUCACAUCGUAUCCUGCGAUGCCCAGGGGUUCGGCUGUUUCGACAAUGCUUCGCAGCGGCUCGGUGACCCAUGCCAGCGUACUUGGCGUCUUCUCCAUCUGGUACUUUGGGGUUCUGUCGAUCAAGUGUUCUGCACGACCGAGCGUGCUUCUCAGCGAGUUGCGUUCUCCCCGCAAUCGAGAUGCUCAACUAUUGGUGGACCAAGAGCAGCAGAGUUCAAGGACCAUCAAAUGGUGGGUGAAGAGGAGUAUGCUGGAUGUCGGCGAAAGUCAAGGUGAUACCGUGAGCGGCUCCUGCGGUGUGCGUCUGCUUCGAAGAACUCGCUCACAUCGGGGAAGAAGCGUCGAUUAAAGGCAGCCGCGACGUGAGCGUGUGCUUACGCGAACGAAUGCGUGACCACCCUGUAUUCAUUGGAUAUGCCCUUUGACUCUGCGCAAUGUUUGUGCGCUGGACGUCGUAUAUGUACAUAUAUCUCGUGAUAAUUUUCGGUUAUUGUCUAUUGCUUUAUUCUGUUUAGCUGGUCUUGUUAUUGUUUAAUACCAUGACCAUGUUCAUGGAUGGCUUAGCCGGCUUGAACAUUGGCUGACGUGGCAUAUUUUCCGUGCAUAAUAUUAAAGAAAA